rnacentral:sRNA from 1 species
GCAGUACUAGGCCACUCCUGCAACCCCCUGGCCUCAAGGCCCCUUGGCUUUCAGGGGUCGCGUCUGCACCCUCAGGGUUGCUGUGAAGAUCAGGGCUUGCCCAUAAGCCUGGUGCCCAAUGGGGCUGCGGCUCUGUUUGUUCCACCACCUGCUACCCUCCCUUUUGGUGUAGUGGCAGGGAGACCACCACACGUGCAUUUACCGCAGCCCCUUCUCGGCAGCCGGGAUCGUGGCUGGUCCUCUGUGAGGGCGAGGGGUGCGCCCAGGACUUAGCUCUGCGGGAGCUGGUGGAUGCUCACUCAGGCCUGUUUCUCAGCCAGGGGAAAACAAUUGGUUCAGAGGCUGGAUCCCUGGGGACGCCAGGAGCAGGUGCGGGCAGCUCUGAGCUUCCCACCACUCCCUGGCUGAGCCUCUCUAAACUGGGCCUAUAGACCCAUGGGGGCUGGGAGCCUUCCCGCAGGAGGCAGAGGCUGAAUAGAUGAGGAGAUGGAGUUCUACAUGCGGACCUUCAGACAUAUGCGCCCAGAGCCCCCCGGCCAGGCCAGGCCAGCAGCAGUGAAUGCCAAUCCCUCCCAGUUUCUUGCCACCCGUGGCCAAGCGGAACCUCCACCACCCUCUUCCCCAGACACUCUCGCCCUGCCUCCCCGGAUCCGACCCCAGAAAAAGAGGAAGAGGCGCGUGUAUAAAGUGCGAACCUCUGAGACCUCGGAUCCGGCGUCGGGGCCCAGGGCCCCCGGCCGCCGCUCCAGCUCGUCGACGGAUUCCGCGGACGCCAGCCCUGUGCACGCCGCUGGCCCUGCCGGCGCCUACCACUCGGCGUCGGCAGAGUCCGUGGACGAGAUUCCAGUGGCGCAGACGCGCCUGGGCAGCGCUGCUCUGGCCGCCCCGCGGGGCCGGGGCCUACAGCCCACCCUGGCGCGGCAGGCGCGUGCGCUCGCCAUUUUCGUGAGCCGGAGCAGCGGCGAGCCCAGGGCGCCGGGCGGCCGGGAGGCUUAGCUGGGCCGAGAGGCCGGAGGGCCGAGUUGGAGCGGCCGGCCCGACUCUCUAUGCAACACCCCAUCCUUGCCGCACCGAGUGCACUUUAGGGGCCCCUACGGCCGGGGGGAUCGUCCUCCCUUCCCCACGACUCAGCAAUACCCGCCCCACCGUCUGUGAUGCUCCAAUAAACUUUUUUAUGCUUU